rnacentral:tmRNA from 1 species
GGGGAUGUUCUGGAUUCGACAGGGAAACAGAGUGCAGAAUAAGCAUGCCGAAGGCUCGUCUUCGUAAAAACGGAAACUUAAAUUUAAACGCAAACAAAAGCGAAUUUGCUCUAGCUGCCUAAGUGCCUGGAGCCGUUCCUCAAAAAGGUCCACGAUUUUGAAGGGGCGUCAGCAGUGGAAAAGGGUUAAUAGUAUAGCUCGAUGCUAUUAACAAGAUUUAGAGCUUGCCGAAGCAAACUAUCGUUAAUGCAGGUUGUUAGGGACUAAAUCGCGUUAUCUAAGCAUGUAGAAGGUUCUGUGCAAAUUUCUUUGGACCGGAGUUCAAUUCUCCGCAUCUCCACCA